CAGGGGGGGGCAAGCGUUGUUCGGAAUUACUGGGCGUAAAGGGUUCGUAGGUGGCUACCUAAGUCAGACGUGAAAUCCCUCAGCUUAACUGGGGAACUGCGUCUGAUACUGGGUGGCUUGAGUGCAGGAGAGGAAUGCGGAAUUCCAGGUGUAGCGGUGAAAUGCGUAGAUAUCUGGAGGAACACCGGUGGCGAAGGCGGCAUUCUGGACUGUAACUGACACUGAUGAACGAAAGCCAGGGGAGCAAACGGGAUUAGAUACCCCGGUAGUCCUGGCCCUAAACGAUGAAUGCUUGGUGUGGCGGGUAUCGAUCCCUGCCGUGCCGCAGUUAACGCGAUAAGCAUUCCGCCUGGGGAGUACGGGUCGCAAGGCUAG
rnacentral:rRNA from 1 species